UUCAUUUCUUAUUUUUCGCCUUAGAUUCUGUUGCCAUAGUGACCGCUCGUGCAAGUAGGUACUUUUUGUUACAAAAAAGCAAGACUUAUAUUUCGUCAUGACAGAGGAAACAGACCGUAGUAGCCUCUUACCAGGUACCAUUAGACUCUCAGGGGCAGUAUCAAUUCACCUAACGGAGGCAUCUCGCCGGCCGCUUGGUGUCAACGAUCCAGAUAGCGCCUUACAGCUCGACUCUGGUGUUUCUGAGACUGAUGUGGACAUUUCAAUCGGUUCCUAUUGUGAUGUCGGCCCUGUCAUCUGACGGCAUAUUCCGGCACCAACGGCAGCAGAUGGGUGUCUUGGACUGGAUCAAGUCUAACUCUAUACAAACGUUAUAAUUGUAUUUAGCACAAUAAUGUAUUUUCCAUCUGCUGAAUCUAGUUUCGCUGAACCAUUUUAUUUUAUUGCAAA